UGAAUCGCUAACGUGCCCCGGACUCUGGGGAUAGCUGCCCGAAAGGGCAGGUAAUACCGGAUGAUAUAACGCUCUCGCAUGAGAGGGUUCUCAAAGGUCCGCCGGUCUGGGAGCGGGCGAUUUCGUAUCAGCUAGUUGGUGAGGUAACGGCUCACCAAGGCGACGACGCGUAGCCGGACUGAGAGGUUGGCCGGCCACAUUGGGACUGAGACACUGCCCAG
rnacentral:rRNA from 1 species